GCCAAAGUGGUGGAAUUGGUAGACACGUUGGAUUCAAAAUCCAAUGUUCGCAAGGACGUGUGGGUUCGAGUCCCACCUUUGGUA
rnacentral:tRNA from 1 species